rnacentral:rRNA from 1 species
AUUACUAGUUGAACAAGCUGGCACCCCGACCGUACCUAACCAGAAAGCCAAAGCUAACUUCGUGCCAGCAGCCGCGGUAAUUCGUAGGUGGCAAGCGUUAUCAGGAAUUAUUGGGCGUAAAGCGCGCGCAGGUGGUUUCUUAAGUUCGAUGUGAAAGCCCCCGGUUCACCCGUGGAGUGUCAUUGGAAACUGGGAGACUUGAGUGCAGAAGAGGAAAGUGGAAUUCCAUGUGUAGCGGUG